rnacentral:lncRNA from 1 species
CCGGCAUAUCAUUUGUUUUCUUUCGGCCUCUCGCGUAAUUUAUCAUAGAUCUCUUUUUUUACUUGUUGAUCUUUUCUUCUUGAUUUUUCUCAAACAAAUUUCGACCGUACCGUUUCUUGAUCUACGUUUCGGUAACUCGUUUCUUUUCCCGCUUAAAGUUUCGUGCCAAUAUUGGCCAUGAAUUUGUUGUCUAUGUCGCAUGUUCAGAUUCUCGUUUUCGUUUCGGAUCGGAUAAGUUUGAGCGAUCCGAUCCGCAAAUGGGAAAUCGUUCCUCCUGAAUCCAGUUUCGUUUCCGAUCUUGGUUCUUGUUCUGUUCACAUAACAUCAGCUCAGUCUCAAUUUCUUAUCCGAUCGGGAAAGACCGGAAAUCUUCCCUCAUGAAUUUUACUGGUCAUGGCUCUGGAUCUGUUCAUACCGAAACGUAACAAUCUCGUUUCCAUUUCGGAUCGGGAAAGAUCGGAAUGUUCUCCCUCAUCAAUCCGGCAAGGUAUAUAUUGGAUCCGAUUAAAUUUAAUUUUAUGCUUCUUGAGCAUGCCUGUUUCCUCAUAUACUUUCUUCUUUUAUUAUUUUUUUUCAGAAGAUAAACCGUCGCUAAUUGUCAACGGAGCAAUUGCUUAAUUUUGUUCGUACGAUUCUCUGCUUAAGUUGCUUGGAUUGUGAUGAAGACGAUGGAUGAUCCACAUAAUCAUGAAACUGAUACUCUCCUUGUAAGUUGUUAUAAUAAUUUCAUCAUGAAGACAAUGGAUCUAGGCUGACCGAGGGAAGCUAGGAAAGAGUGAGAUCUAAGGUAUAUAAUCUGUUAAUAUUAUGAGUGUUUGUUCUCAGACCUUUGCCAUUGCAGGUGCGCUUGCAUGGCAGGUCAAAAAAGCCCUAAUAAAUUAAUUUUUUUGGGUUUUGUGGGGGAAGAGGUACGGGUUUUUUUUCCUUUUCCCGCCCGGCUCUUCCCCCUUCUGCGGGCUCUCUCUCUCUCUCUCUCUCUCUCUCUCUCUCUCUCUCUCUCUCUCGUUUAUUCUGUCUGGUCUAUGCUUGCAUAUCUACAUUUGCACGCCAAUCAUAAUUUGGUGGCACGGAUAAGGCCAACAAGGAUACCAAUCUCAAUCUGGCUUCACGAAGAAGGUAAUUAACAGCUCUCGACCCACUUAUUGAUUCUUUAAUUUCAAAAACAAUAUGCAGAAAAUCUACAGAAAACAAAAUCAUUCUUACAAGGGUACAUUUGAUGAUGAUCGCUCUGUUUCAUACACUUAUCAUAACAUAGUUUAACAACGAUCAAGGGAAACAUUCUCACCAGUGACAUCAAGAAAUUAGUUGCACACACUGACAUCAAGAAAGAAUUUGCUAUUUAUUUGUCAUAUUUAUGUUUCCUAAUGGCUAAAGAUAGAAAUGAGGUACUGAAGCUCUAUUGGAAGCCCCUUUUCAGUCUAUCAUGGCAAUCGGGAAAAUCUACAAAAUGGAAUGGUUCCCAAACAUAUACUAUAGUUGUAACAAAAAACAUUCCAACAUUGUGUUAUAUAAAUUAUGAAGAUGUAGCAUUUUUUGCAAGGCCUUCAAAUUACUAUUAUUUAGUGUGGAUCUCCGUUUAAUUUAUAUGCUCAGGGCGCAUUUAUUUACCAUAUUCAUGUUUCCUGGUGGAUAACGAUAUAAAGAAACGCUUCUACUGUGCAUUUAUGCCCCAUUUGAGUUUUACAUAACAACCAGGAGAAUCUCACUAAAUUGAAUCGAAGUUUUUAUGAGAAUUCUCAAUCUCUUGGAGCCGAGUGUUUUUUGUGCUAUUAAUUUGAUUUUCUCCUGAUUCGUAUGCUAUAUUUGAUAGUGUGAUUAUUUUGUGAAUUUGUGGAUGUGAUAUGUUAUCACAGUAUUCAAGGCAAAAUGUAUCAUUAGUUUGGUUUGUUUGUGUAAUGGCAUGGGGAUAGAUAGUGAUAGACAUGAUCCUUGGUGCUGUAAUGGGGGAUGGUCUGUGAGUAGUCUGUUCCCCUAUAAAAACUUUACUUUCCUACCAGCUUGGAACGUGGUUGUCUCUCUAAGCAUAAUAUAAAUCGUAUGGUUCACGAAUCCUAAAACAAUAUGUUCCACCAUGGACUUCUCUUUUGGAAGAGCGCCAGCCUGUUUUAUGAACUGUCAUGUGGAAGAAUGCAGUUCUGAUCUGAGAGUUGGUUUACGACAAGCUUCUCAUGUGGAAGAGUGCAGAGGCUGUCCUGCUGGUUGACGCAUUGGAAGAACACAGUUUUGAGGCUGAAUAUAUAAUUGGUAAGUGAAAUGCUACCCUUUACUUAAUUUUCCUGUUUGAUGACCGGCAUUCAUCUAUACUGACUAAUUUCUUGACCAGUCAUUGAUCUGAACUAAAUGCUAUGGCAUCUGCUUUUGUCUGUAGCUGUUCAGCUGUUCAUGGAUGGAGCACGUGAUGGAGAUGUAGUUUGUUGAUCUCUGCUAUUCUUGUGCUGUGCUCGUCCCUUUGUAAUUUGGUGAUCAUCAGAGGCAAAAACAACAUAAUGGAAAUGCUCGCUUCUUUUGUGCUCUAGUAUUUGGUGAUCAGCAAAAGGCAAAGACAGCAUAACUCGUGUUGUUUUUAGAAAUUUGGUUUGGGCCUUGUCAAUUAUCCAGCGGUGUUUUUUUUUUAAUUGAAGGAGAUUGAAAUUCAGUUUGUUUGGAUCAAAGGUAAAUUGCAACGAGUUCUGGAAUUGUCUCUAUUGGAACCCACUAUGCAUGCGUAUUUGUCAUCUAUUUGAAAUUAGCCGUAUUGUGUUGUCUGUUGUGUGGAUGCCCAUUGUUGACCAUUUUUGCCUGGACUGGCGGUUCUUUUGGCCCUGCUGCGGUUCUUUUUGCCCUUCCUCGUCUCCCUCUCCCUGUAAGUAAUGCGUUAAUGUGACCAUGAGGGGGGCUGUGAAAUAUUAUGUAAUUAUAUUGAUGCUUUUUGUUCCAAAUAAAUUAUUGUCAUUGGAGACGAUUAUUAUUAUGCAGUGUCUAACUGAACAUCUUUUUCUUCAAAAAUAUAUAAACGUGUUAUCUUGUUGGGCUUCGAUAAUUUGGGUGUGUGGCUUGGUCGUGGA